UUACUUACUUGCUCAUUUUACUUACUUGCUCACUUUACUUACUUGCUUACUUUGCUUACUUUACUUACUUAAUUACUCUACUCACUCACCCCGGUGGAAAUAAGUCACUCUGACUUUUUUGGGUUAUCCCAGGUUGUCUACAUAUAUGCUGCUAUGUAUAAUAAUCUACAUAACUGUAUUUGUGUAUACCUAAGUAAACUUACUUACUUACUUUACUUAAGAUAAUAAAGUUUAGAAUGGAGUGUAUGAGGAAGUUGUUGGUCGGUGGAUCAGAGAAUAACCGACCUGUCACACCAACCUUCAUUGUUGUCAUUUACUUUCAUUUCUUUAUUUUAGCCAAAGUUGACCAAAAUAGGUAUCAAAAUGUCGGCUCGUCGCGCCACCCACGCUGGCAGUUGGUAUACUGACUCUGCUACAGAUCUGGCACGUCAGCUAGAAGGAUGGUUAGGACAAGCAGACCUCUCACAUGGACCUGCUCGUGCUAUAAUUGCUCCACAUGCGGGGUAUCAGUACAGCGGAGCUGUUGGUGCCUAUGCCUACCGACAAGUGUCCCCAGUUGUUGUGUAAGUAUUUGAGUCCUUGUAUGUAGACAUCACUUGGUGUCUGCAUUCUUAAACAAUUCUUAUUUGAAUCUCCUGAAGAUUUGUCCUCCCAGAGAGAGCUGUGAAACAGUUAUGCAAUUGUUUUAGCUGAAACUUGCCUCAUAAUUAACCUAUCCUUGCUAAAAUUUACAUAUGUGGGAAUAUAGUAUAAAAUAGUUUAAUUUACCUAACCUGUCUUAAGAAUUUGCAUAUCAGUAACUAUACCAGUAUCUUCACAUGAUCUAUAUAUGGAAUUCUAGAAGAGUAAUCUAUAACAAAUUUCAGUGGACCCCUUAUGAACGCAUCGCGUUACGUUAAAUCCGCCAUACGAAGCAUUUGAACGCAAAAAUUUUGCCUUGCCUCGUGAUAAAAAACUCGCCUUACGUGAUUCGUCCGGGACGCAUCCCACGUGUGGCCUCAGCGCCAGUGUUUACAAGCCAGCCAGUGCGGUCGCAUCUACGCAUACAUUUGGUACAUUUCACAUUAUCCCAGUGUUUUUAGUGCUUGUAACUGCAAAAUAAGUCACCAUGGACCCCAAGAAAGCUUCUAGUGCCAUCCCUGUGGUAAAAAGGGCGAGAAUUAGUAUGGAAUUGAAAAAAAGAGAUUAAGGAAAUGUGUGCAAAGUGGGUUGAACUGCAAAACUUUACGGAUGAAAAUCACCCUGACACAGCUACUGCAAGCCGUGUUGGCAACCUGUACAAUGACAAUGUUAUGGCCCA